rnacentral:rRNA from 1 species
GAUGAACGCUAGCGGCAGGCUUAAUACAUGCAAGUCGAGGGGCAGCAUGAUUGUAGCAAUACAAUUGAUGGCGACCGGCAAACGGGUGCGGAACACGUACACAACCUCCCAAUAAGUGGGGAAUAGCCCAGAGAAAUUUGGAUUAAUACCCCGUAACAUAACGAUGUGGCAUCACAUUGUUAUUAUAGAUUUUUCGCUUAUUGAUGGGUGUGCGGCUGAUUAGAUAGUUGGCGGGGUAACGGCCCACCAAGUCUACGAUCAGUAGCUGAUGUGAGAGCAUGAUCAGCCACACGGGCACUGAGACACGGGCCCGACUCCUACGGGAGGCAGCAGUAAGGAAUAUUGGACAAUGGACGCAAGUCUGAUCCAGCCAUGCCGCGUGAAGGAUUAAGGUCCUCUGGAUUGUAAACUUCUUUUAUAAGGGACGAAAAAAGGCUUUUCUAAGUCGUCUGACGGUACCUUAUGAAUAAGCACCGGCUACUCCGUGCCAGCCGCCGCUGUAAUAC